rnacentral:tRNA from 1 species
GGCUUGUAACAGCGGGCUGCAAACUCGCUAUAGCUUAAAGCACAAGCCU